GGUGUGAGCCUAAGGCGGCGGCGGCGGCAACAGCAGCAGCAUUAACCUGGGCCAGGUUUCCCUUUGCCUUGUGUCCUACAGCUACGGUACCUCCACUCGGGGCUGGCACGCCAGUGAGAGCCUGGACUUUGGCCCUCACCGCUUCAGGAGCCCCCCAUGCCGACCCCUAUCUCGCUUGCUUCUAGGAGAGGCGGCUGCACUGGGCCCCCAUGCAGCGCCUCCAGGAGGCGACCAAGGUGACCUGGAAACUCAUGGCAGAGUUGGCAAGGUGCAAGGGGUCUUGGAUCCCUUACGUUUAUCUUUUAGAAAGGAGGCUGGAGAAGGCAAGGAAGGGGCCUGAGGCCUGGCAGAGUCUCAGAAGUUGCCAUGCGAUGAUUACACGAUGAAAGGUAAUCUUCCAAUUUUUUGAGUGGAAAAACAAGGUUGGACUAUUGUGCAGUGGCGACAAUUAUGUGGUGAAUUAUGGUAUUCAGAAUUUAAAACAUACAAUUAAUGAAUUUGGUAGUACUCACAUCAUAGUUGUUCACAUAGACCUGAAUAUGAAUUACUUUUUUUGACUUUUUUAUAUAGGCAUCCACUUUACUUUAUUGUUGAAAUAAUAAAUCUUUUGUUUCGAGGAAUAAAAUACGGUGUUUUACCAGAACACUGCUGGAACCAUUUUAUCUAAAUAAGAAAUGAAUUAACUUGUUUAAGUGUCCUUGAUUAUCUUCUAUUCCUAUAUAUAUUUCUCUUCUUAAGAACCUGUUUCUGUCAUAUACCUGCUAUGAACAACACAGAAGAAGGAAUCAAUGGCUUGCUUGGCAAAUACAGUUGUUGUUUUUUACUCCCCCCCCUUCAGUUAUUCAUUAUGGUAAUGGUACUUUGUGAUGUGCAAUUUCUGGAUUUAUGACCCAUUCUCGAUAAGCAGGAAUCCAGGCUGCAUGUGCAUCUUUGAUAAGGUUCUAAUUGGAUAGCAGUGACCUUUCUGAAUGUAAUUCUGGGUGGAAGAUUAAAAAGCAGUCCAGAAAGUGACAGGUUUGGGACAAUAACAUAUGAAUUCAGCUCUGCUGGCAGGCAAGAGAUGUAAGCCAUGAUAAAUUAGAGGCCGGCCAAACAGGCUUGCUGAAUGAUUGUUCAUUUCCAUUGCAUCCUGGGGUAAAAUCUACUGCACAAGUGGUGCCAACCAUGCCACAUUUUCACUCUUUAUGCAUUACUACUGAUUGCUAACACUGGGAAACUGUGAAGUUAAUGUCCUCUCACAGGGCACCAAUGGUCACAUACUAAAUUAGCAGCAUGUUCACCCAGAUGAUUCUUUCUAGGACAUUUGUAUAUUUACUUCACAUAUUAUGAACACAAUAUAAACAUCCCAGUGAUGACAGGGAAAACCUGUUUGCUGUCGUUUGUGUGGCUGCAAAUGAGAAAGAUCUUUAUCUUAAGGCAUUCCUGAUCUGAAACAUUAGUUAUCUCAAGGUUCUCGGAAUCCAUUUCUGCUUAUUCUAAAAAGUAUAUGAGAAUGGGUAAGGGUGGGUGUUGUCACCUAAAAAAGGUUGAUGGCAUCAGGUAACAGGUGGAAGUUCUAUCCAAAAUACAAAAUGAUUUGUAAUGCAGUAAUUUUAAUUGUAAAUUUAGCUAAGUGUGCUGAAGUUAAAAAGCGUAAAGUGUCUUACCACUCUCUUACUUCACAGCCCCACGUUAAUUUGGUAUUUUCUUCUUCUCACAAGAAAAGUGAGCAACAGUUGCAAUUGAUAAGAAAAAAGUAAAGCCAUGUCAAAUUGCAUUGUUAGGGCUGGCAAAACAGUCCUUAUAUCUUAGUAGACAGACAUCUAUAAUAUCUGAUUCUCAUUUAUACUUAGACCUGUUAGCAUUAUUCUGGCAUCAUUAAAUAGCUUUAAAUGGACUUAGGUGUAAUUUGUACUCCAUUUCAGUUUUCCAAGUACCACUGGAGCAGAGUAAAAGUGUUUAGGGUAAAUGAGAAUUGGGACCAUUAGCUAGACUCUAAAUACCAUAUAUGACAAUUAAAAGGUUGUAGUUCCCAGCAGUGCUCUUUCUUAGGUGACAAAAAUAUCAGAGUUAAAAGCUUUUUCCUGGUAGUGCUAGACAUGCUAGCUCUGAUGUGGCAAAUCCGAGAAGAUCAAAGGAAAAAGGAAUCAUUUUUUUGAGUAUCAUUUGAGUAAGCCAUACCUUCUUGUAAACUUCCCCCCUUCUACCUCUUUUAGCAUGAGAGAUUCAAAUAAAUAUUUCUAGCUUAACAAAAGCAUAAUUAAAAAGCAAAUGUUAUGAAUAUUUAUGGAUCAGUAUGUGGUUCAGGUAGUAGUUAAGCAAGUUGCUGACAUAGAUUUCUACUUUUCUGUAGAUUUGAAAUUAGCCCUUUAUGUUUCAUUAUAACAAUAAAUUUCUCAUCUUGAGAACAAAAUGGUAGAACUGAGUUGCUCUAUUUUAAAAUAAUAUCUACAGUGUUUUCAGUAUUUGUGAGAAGUUAUACAAUAUUUAUUUAUGCCCUAUGUCAAUUUGCAUAAUCAAAAUGAGCCCUAAUUGACUAUUUGUGAAUACUUAAAAACACACCAAGACAGUAACUUUGGUUAAAUAACGUUGGUUUUAAAAAAUAUCCCUGGCUGUUUUAUACUUGCCAAUUUUUUACAAAAAGACUUGCUCAGGAAAUGUACCUGUGGCCUGAUCAUUCUCAAGUUCAUGAGUGGAGGACAUCACACAUACAUUGUAUUACACAUUUUCUGCUUAUCUCUAAAUGUGUCUGUUCUACAGACUAAAAGUUAUUUGGUGAAACGCUGGGGUCAAACAUCAAUAAUAGCAGCAUAACCCUGUUUGCCUAAGGAUGGAUGAGCGAUGUUCCUUACCCCACCCCUUUUAUAUAGGAUCCAUAUAACAUCUGGUUAGACAAAAUCCUGGUUGCCUGCUGUUUGCUAAAUGCAGAUGGGGCAGGAAAGGCAAGUACUACUAAUCUUACUCAUUUAGUUAGUACAUCUAUGUUCCACUUUUCUUACAUCAUCAGACAUACAUGGGGUUCCCAGAGAGUAUUCUGUCCAGGCACUGACCAGAUCUUAGCUGCAACUAGUUGGUUACAAUACAUCAUGUACCCUCAUACCAUGUGCCUGGACAUUUUAAAAUGAGGAUAUAGAGAUUCUUUAACAAUUGUCGCUUAACAUAAUGAUUAUCUAUCUAGAAAGAAUUGUAUUGUGACAGAAAGUACAAUGGGUAUGAGAAAACUCUUGCUGCCAUGGAAAUAUUGGGGCUAGUUUUUAAUUUAUGGAGAAUUAGAAUCUAAGGAUCUCAAGAAGGUACUUCUCCAAAAGACACUUCUCAUUUUUACAGAGAAACCAAUUUUUUUCCACUUGACUAAUUUUUGUGUUGCACAUACAAACUGAAAUGAAUUCAGUGCUAGCCACUGGGCUGCCUGUGUAGCUUGACUGCCAGCGCUUUAUAAAGCGUUUACUGUAGACUUGCAUUUUUAUUGCAUGUGUUUUGAUUUUAUAAUUUUAUGACUGCAAUGGGGGGAAAAGGAUGCAGAGGAAAUGUGAUCAUAUACCCUUUCUUCAUGGAUGGAAAAAUAUUAUGUGCUGUUCAUUUAAGUAUAUUUUAUUAUUAUUAAAGCAUCUCAUUAUUCUACAACAGAGGUUUUAAAAUUGAGAAGAUGCAUCAUGCAAACACUUGUGUAUAUUAUUAUGAACUUCAUCUGGGUAGACUAAUCAUCUCCUUAUUUUCAAAGGAACAGAAGAAGUAGGGGUAAAUAUAUUAUGGUUGCAUGUAAUUUUCUGUGUAAGUUAUUAAUAAGAGAAACAAACUCGGUUGCAUCACGAGCUGUCUAUCCCAGUGCUUUAAUGUUCCAGGGUGGAAUGGACAGCAAUCCCUCCCCCGAUCUGCAAACUCCCAUGGGGCUGCAGUAUCGGGAGCCAGAAAAAUCAAAGAGCCACCUACUGACCCCACCUAUUGUCUGGCCUUGUCGUCUUCUAUCAGUGGCAUGCCACAAUCAGCAAGAUACAUGUGUACCUCAUGCUUGCUCAGGGUUUGGCAAACUCCUGUCCCUUGCACCUGUUUGCUUAUGCAUGAGCUGUGCAUGUUUGAAUCCAAAGAGCUAGGCAUGGGGUAGGGAGAAGGCAGAGAAAUCACUGUCAGCUCCUCAUUACCCCAUAAAGAGGAGGAAGAAUAGACUGAAGAGGCAAGAGAGAUCUUUGUAGAGCCCUUAAGUGUACUUUAAAAUGGGAAAAGAUGCGACUGUUAAUCAUGGUGUAUUAGUUAAUAAAUGAAGUGUAUGUGCUUUAAAAAAGAAUAUGUUGACUCUUCCUUGCUUACAUAUAAAACUUUCUUCUUAGAAGAUCCCAUAACUUCAGAUUGGAUUUCUAAGCACUUAACAUGCUGAGUCACCAUUGUUCUAUGAUUGAGUAAAGUGUGAAUCAGCAUGAGAAGAGGAUAGGGGAACAAAUCCAAUCUGAUUGAUCUAUAAAUUGUAUUUUAAUCCCACUUGGGGCAGCUUUAACAUUAACAAUGAGUGUAGUGUUUUGUUUUGACCUUGUGGAUAUUUUUAUAUGCGAAAGUUUCCUCAUGGAUACAAGCUAGCGGACCUUAGAGUUACAUCAUUAUUUGAGUGUCCUUAAAGUUGAGACAACAUUACCACACAUUAGAGAAGGAAAGCACACAGGAGAGGUUUCUAUUAAAGUGGAACAGGAGGGAGAAUGGAAAGGCAGGCUUGAGAACAAGUUUUUAAACUAUCACAUACCGAACUUUAUAACCGAGUUAUAAAAACUGUAACUUUAAUUGAUUUAAUCUCUGUUGUAACUUUUUCUAACCUUAUUGUGCAUUGCUUAGAGACUGCAGUGAUAUAUAAAUGGAUGUAAUAAAUAAUAUAAGGGUAAUGUAAUAAUAAAAGGGAAAACUUAAUGAGAGAAUAUGUAUUUAAAUCUAAACAUCGCAUAAAUCACUAUGAGUUUAAAAUGCCAUCUAUUAGCACUACAAGAUUAAUAAAGGAAUUAAAAGCUACAGGACUGAAAAUACAUUUUAAAAGACAAGUCAGUAGUUACAAACACAUUGGCUUCCUUCAUGGUUCAGCAAACUGUGAGUAAGUGUGGGGACCACAUGUUUCUUCCUCAGCCCUCCCCACCUCUCAUCACAUGCCAGCUUUGUGGCUGUAUUCUAUGGUUUCCAAUUGCACCCAAACAGAAAGCUCUGGCAAUGUCAGUUUACUAACCAGAAUAUUAAACCAUGUGCUGAUCUUGGUUUAAAAUGUUGUCUAGUAAACUGACAUUCAUCCAGAGUUCCUUCUUUCAAACAUAAUGGUCAAUUCUGUUGUUACACCACUGUUGAAGCUGAGAUGAGGUGGGAUGAGAACAUGUAAAGGAGGAUCAUGUAGCCAACAAUGGAAUGUUCACCCUACUCAAAGAUAAUUGCAGUGUGUGGGAAUAUUAAUUAGAAUUGUGGUUAGGGAGGGAAGGGUAAACACCCUUGCAUGCCUGUAGUUAGAGAAAGAAAAACCCCUGGUGUUCUUCCAAGCUACAGAUUUUGCCUAAUAUGCUACAGAUUUUGCCUAAUAUGUAUUGACACUAUGCUGUACUGUAAAUAGCUUAAUCUGCUCUAUGAUUUUAAAAAAGUCGUUAUUGAUGCUGAAGAUGUUAGAAAUGGAGAGAAGCAGAUUCUUCCACAGCUGUCAGCAUUUUCCUACCCCACACAAGUUGAACAAAUGAAUAGUCUUGAACAAAUGAAUAAUCUUGAAGUUACAAGCGUAGACAGAAAAAAUGCAUUCACAGGUUAGUCUAUGACUAAUUUUCUGUCAGCAACAUACUUAAUUAUUGAGAUGAGGAUAUGAAAUACAGUACCUUUAAGCAUUUCAGAUGUCUGGACUGAUUAUGUUUUAAGUUUUAUAAACAUUAUUUCACUUUCUUGCUUUCUUACAUCAUGCCAUAUCUCACAUUAUCUCAUAUUAUACUUACAUUCUACUGCAAAAAUAAAUGUCCAAAGAGGCAAAUAUUAUUUCUUAUAAUUAACUUUAUCUGGACAUGGUAUUGCAAUAUAUGUUUAAUCUAUUGUCAGAAUCACGCUUUUAUCAUUUCAGUUAUGGGGUUACACCAAAACCUUGCACCUGUUUAUUUACUUUUUUAGGACCCUGGAAGCAAAAUGCAUAUAUCAGAUGUUUGAAACACAAGUGUACCGUACAUGUCUUGCAAACCUUUUGUGCAGAUAGUAUUUAGUAUAGAUUAGCUAAAGUGCCUUUGGGGAUUAGCUUCUCUGCAGUUGCUGAGGAUAUCAACGUGCUGAGAAUACACAGAGAUGUUUUCACCACCUUCCAGCUGUAAAACAAUAAUUUUAUCAAGAGUCCAAUAGCAGUCACUGAGUGUGCAUAUAUUCCCACAGGUUAGUGCUAGCUUAUGUACCUUUCCAGAAUAUUUAUAUUUUUUUAACCAGUCAUCAGUCAUUCUAAACAUCCCUACCAUCCAAUGCAUAGCUUGAUCUUUCUUGUUAACCUAUAAUAUCCAAACUAUAUUAUAUGCUGGUGUAUAUACUACACAAACAUGCACAUACUACAUAAAAAGCAAGUUGAGAAUUUUUUUAAAGUAGUAUAAAGAUUAUAGGCUUGUUUACACUCAGUAGUGUUGCAAAGGCAAUCUGUACAAAACAUGCUGGUGACUGGUUUUCAUUUGAUUUUCUCCUUCCCCCUUCCUGACCUCUCUAUUUUGACUGCCAGUGCCCUUUCUAAUUCUCAGUUUACAUUUUCUGUAUUUUUUAUUAGUCUGAUACGUUUAACCAGGGGCAGAGCUGAUUUGCAAACUAGCUGGGAAGCAUAUUAAGCAAGGAAGAAGGAAAGGAAAGCGUUCAUCUUGGAUAAAAUUUCAAAAUUGAGGCUUUCUCACUCCCUUACAUUUUUUCCACUGCACUGGAUGUAUAAUUACCUCAUUGUUUCAAUAAUGUGCAAAAAUUAAAGGCAGUAAGAUGGGAAAAAAUGUAAAUAGGAAGACUUACUAUAAUGCUCUUCUAAAAUGAAGAAUUUAACUAAACCACUCUAAAGUCCCCUGCUGCGCUCAGGCGAGUUGAAAUUAAUUCAAGACGGCAGAUAAAAAUUUUAACCAGCCCGAGUGGAGAUGACGGAUGUGACAGCUCUCAGUUAAAAUGUCUUUUAGUGGCAAAUGCAUGCAUAUUAGUCAAGUGAUGUGACAUAACUGUCCUGGGUGAGAAAAGAUGAACCAAUGACCAUUUGCAUUGAGAACAAAAGAAAAUUCUUAAGAAUAAAACAGAAGCGGAAGGAGAAGAUAACUUGCCAUUCUAUAUAAUUUUGUCUGUCUCUGGCUUAAAGGAAUGUAAGUGACUGAACCUUUUAGUUUUCCCCCACCUCGUCUUGUGGAUGUAAUG